GUUAAACCGGUGUUGAAGGACGUCGGCUAAAGAUAAAGAUUUCUCCUUCCACCUCCUCCUCUCCAUCGGCAUUGAAACACCCUAAAAAAACAGAUACAGAGAAACAUUUGCAGAGAGAAUUUAAUGGGGUAGGAUUGAGUGAAAAUUAGAGUUGUGUUCAACUCUUGUUGAUUGGUCGUAAUUGAUAUUGAGGAAGACAGAUAGAGUAAUUCUGCCAUGAAAAAUUUGAAGAACAGUUGAAUAAGUUAUUGAAAUAAGAAGAAUCGAAGCCAUUGUGGAAAACGGGUUCUAGGUAUUAUCUUAUUGGUGAUGGAAAAGGAAGAUGAAUGAUUGAAGUAAUUGAAGACGAACAAGAAAGAUGAAACUAGUUUGGCCGUUAUUGGUUGGGGUAUAAUGUUUGUCAAAAACUAAAUAGGAAGCUGGGAUUUAUCCGUAGCACUAGUUAUUGAUUAAUGGAGUGGUUAGGGUUAGUUAAUUGGAAAUCUGGUAGUCAUAUUUUUUUUCUUUCUUUUCUUAAUUAGCUAUUUGUUGUAUGUAGUGCUGUACAUUCUCGUCACCAGUUGUACUUAUGUAGUGCUGUACAUUCUCGUCAUCAAUGCAUUAUUAGUGUAUAUAUAAUUCAGUCUCGUUGA